CAAAGAUGGAAGAGUUCCAUAACGAAGCUGAAUUUCUAAAGGUUAUAUGGAAACACUUGUACUCGUCCUCCUCUAACAAGUCUGUUUGGCACUCUGCAUGCUGCAAAGGAGCACAAUAAAUGCGGUGAAUGUUACUCAGGAUCGUCAUGACAACUUUUACCCAUGCUCUGAAUUCAUGGACAAGGUCACCACCGCCUACAUCGUAACUGGGGGACUACAUUACUUCCAAAUGGAACACCUCACUUCUGUCCCAACGUCAAGUUACAUGGGUGCUGUUGGCAAUCCAUAUAAAAUGAUUGAUUAUUUUCUAGGUCAUGCAGCAAAACAGUUUGUAGACAAGCACGUCUUACCGGAGGUUCCUCAACAGCCAGGUCAUGGUCUCCAAAUCAAACACACUAGCCUGCAGGUACUGUGGAAAACUGUACCAGAGACCAAAAGCUCUCCGCAAACACGAAGCAUCCGGAAUAUAAUGCUGAAAACAAUCAGGAUUCCACAUCUUCAGCAGAAUCAAGAUCAUCUAUUUAUCAGUACACCCGUCUGUCUCUCAUGCUUGGGCUUCUUCGAAUAAAUCACAACGAUUCCAUUCACAUGGGAGAUGGUGGCAGGCAUGAUGAGACUAGUAAAGUGGUUCUGUUUAUACUACAAGGCAAGCAAAUGUCCAAAGUAUGCAUAUGGUCUCCUUUGAAACACAGGCAAAGGCAUAUGCUCUCCUAUAUGAACGGCAGGCUUUAUAGAUUGAUAUGGAACCGCACAGUCAACCAUCAAGGCAGAGAAGACACCAAUCAUCCCAUCGACCUUGACUUGGAGCAUUGCAACAGGGCUUUCAAAGAUGAUGUACACACAUACAAGGGGAGGUACACAGAUAAAAGACGAUUCUCAAAGUCAGCAGAAGUGCGCUGUCAAUGGAAGAAUUAUGCCAAAAAUACGACAAAUUGGCAUUCCGCAAGAAAUGUUCGGGAAGGCAUGGAGUUGUUGAUCCUUCUUGGUGAUAUUCUUAAACUUGUAGAACAAUUCCAUUCCUAUGCAGCUCUAUUCAAUGAGGCCAACAAGCCACUGCCACAGAGAAAUCAAAAACAUGCUGAGUGACAUCCAAAAUUGGAUUUCAGAAAGUCUUAAAGUCUUCAGUAGCCGCACAUACUAUAACAUCUGAACCUUUUUUCCCGAUGUGUAAUUCAGUGUCACAUGAUUAAAACGAGACCCUGUUGCAAAGUCGCUAUCACUGUAUGUUUCAUGAUCUUCAUGUUCUGAGUCUGAGUGAGAUGAUGAGCUAUCACUCGAGUCAAGGGAAGUUUUGUACAACUCAAGAAUAUCACAUCUACAUUCACUACAUGGGGUAAUUGCAUGUCCAUGAGUCUCUGCAGUCACAGAGACACUUGCAAGAUAUGGCACAGUUGUCCAUAGCACUCAUGACUUCAGUAAAGCUCAACUCGUCGACAUACGUUGGUUCUGACAUACUGUUUCAUUUCAUCCGAAAUAUUCCGCCUGCCACUGAGACAUCGUCUAAAUUUCAUGAGAAGAGCAUGUGCCUGCUUUUCUGGAUCCCUGCCUGCUCCGUCCUUGUCUCUUGAAUAUAAUCCUCAACAUUAUUGGCUGGACCAUAGUGGAUGACGGUUUCCACACUUUCUUAGCAUUGUGUAUACACAACGUAAUUAACGGAUUCUGACAUCAGCCACAUAUCUCGGACCACCCCACGAGUCUCUCUUAACCGUUCAAUUAACGUUCCGCUUGGUGUUGCCACACCUGUCCGCCAUCUGCUGUUGAGAUACUGUAACGGUUCUCGUCUGAAAAGAGGACUUCCCCCACUGCUGGUGCUGUGCUACCCACUGAAGACGGUCCAGGAAACAAAGAAGAAGACUGAAAGGAUACCACUGGGAGUGCUUCAGUGAGGACCUCAGUGACCGUUCUCCAUCACAGUAGGUGCUCAGCGGAGGGGACUACCUCACCCUUGAGAGGCAGAAACAAGCCAAUCAUGCACUUACGAGAUGGACCUACACCAAGUUCCAGAUUACAAGGACUUGUUCCAAAGAUGGAAGAGUUCCAUAACGAAGCUGAAUUUCUAAAGGUUAUAUGGAAACACUUGUACUCGUCCUCCUCUAACAAGUCUGUUUGGCACUCUGCAUGCUGCAAAGGAGCACAAUAAAUGCGGUGAAUGUUACUCAGGAUCCUCAUGACAACUUUUACCCAUGCUCUGCAUUCAUGGACAAGGUCACCACCGCCUACAUCGUAACUGGGGGACUACAUUACUUCCAAAUGGAACACCUCACUUCUGUCCCAACGUCAAGUUACAUGGGUGCUGUUGGCAAUCCAUAUAAAAUGAUUGAUUAUUUUCUAGGUCAUGCAGCAAAACAGUUUGUAGACAAGCACGUCUUACCGGAGGUUCCUCAACAGCCAGGUCAUGGUCUCCAAAUCAAACACACUAGCCUGCAGGUACUGUGGAAAACUGUACCAGAGACCAAAAGCUCUCCGCAAACACGAAGCAUCCGGAAUAUAAUGCUGAAAACAAUCAGGAUUCCACAUCUUCAGCAGAAUCAAGAUCAUCUAUUUAUCAGUACACCCGUCUGUCUCUCAUGCUUGGGCUUCUUCGAAUAAAUCACAACGAUUCCAUUCACAUGGGAGAUGGUGGCAGGCAUGAUGAGACUAGUAAAGUGGUUCUGUUUAUACUACAAGGCAAGCAAAUGUCCAAAGUAUGCAUAUGGUCUCCUUUGAAACACAGGCAAAGGCAUAUGCUCUCCUAUAUGAACGGCAGGCUUUAUAGAUUGAUAUGGAACCGCACAGUCAACCAUCAAGGCAGAGAAGACACCAAUCAUCCCAUCGACCUUGACUUGGAGCAUUGCAACAGGGCUUUCAAAGAUGAUGUACACACAUACAAGGGGAGGUACACAGAUAAAAGACGAUUCUCAAAGUCAGCAGAAGUGCGCUGUCAAUGGAAGAAUUAUGCCAAAAAUACGACAAAUUGGCAUUCCGCAAGAAAUGUUCGGGAAGGCAUGGAGUUGUUGAUCCUUCUUGGUGAUAUUCUUAAACUUGUAGAACAAUUCCAUUCCUAUGCAGCUCUAUUCAAUGAGGCCAACAAGCCACUGCCACAGAGAAAUCAAAAACAUGCUGAGUGACAUCCAAAAUUGGAUUUCAGAAAGUCUUAAAGUCUUCAGUAGCCGCACAUACUAUAACAUCUGAACCUUUUUUCCCGAUGUGUAAUUCAGUGUCACAUGAUUAAAACGAGACCCUGUUGCAAAGUCGCUAUCACUGUAUGUUUCAUGAUCUUCAUGUUCUGAGUCUGAGUGAGAUGAUGAGCUAUCACUCGAGUCAAGGGAAGUUUUGUACAACUCAAGAAUAUCACAUCUACAUUCACUACAUGGGGUAAUUGCAUGUCCAUGAGUCUCUGCAGUCACAGAGACACUUGCAAGAUAUGGCACAGUUGUCCAUAGCACUCAUGACUUCAGUAAAGCUCAACUCGUCGACAUACGUUGGUUCUGACAUACUGUUUCAUUUCAUCCGAAAUAUUCCGCCUGCCACUGAGACAUCGUCUAAAUUUCAUGAGAAGAGCAUGUGCCUGCUUUUCUGGAUCCCUGCCUGCUCCGUCCUUGUCUCUUGAAUAUAAUCCUCAACAUUAUUGGCUGGACCAUAGUGGAUGACGGUUUCCACACUUUGUAAGUCCCAAGCUGAAUGGUGUUGAGCAAUGGACUAUCAAGGGACUAUCAUCCUCUUGAAACCAUUUGGAUCCAUGAAGGACUCUGACACACUUCCCUGUUUUCCUUCUCAUUCAUACAUAUUCUGUAUGUUGUUAUGCAUGAUUGAUGUUGAACUUUAAUUGAAACUUUAGCUUGAAAAUUGGCCGAUUUCUUUUAUGAAAUUUAACUCCUAUUAUAAGAAUAAGAUCAACAUAUGCAAAAACAAUUGUUGUUAGAUGAUUAUUUUUUUGUAACCGAUCAACAAGAUCAACUUUAGUGUUUUAGUGUUUUAACUUAGCUAAUGUAAUGUAAUACAGUGGAUGUAUGCAUUCCUUUUUCAUAAGGGCAUUAACAUAUAUUACAUAAUGCCUCUACCUGGGACUGCGGCCAAACUUACAAAAUUAACCCUUGUUUGAGAGUAACAAGUAUCAAGUUCAUGAUGAUUGUAGAAGUGAUUGUAUGUAUUCAUAAAUGUGACACAUGCACAUUUUGAAAUGUUAAUAUUUGUGCUUUAACUUUGAUUUGAUGAAUAUCAAAUUAGAUAUUGUAUACACUUUAUAGCUACUUGUGAUCAGUGCACAUUUUUAUACCUUUAGAUUGUGCAGUUUCAUAGUGGUUAGUAAGAAUAUUUUGUGAAUUUAUACUUGUUUUAUCACAAAACAUGUGAAUGAGUGAAUGUCGUCUCAUACUGCAGUCAGCAAUAUUGCAGCCAUAUGAAGGCAGCCUGUAAACCAGUAAUUGAUACGCACACCAUCCUAGUACAUAAAACAUUCGCUCUCCAUGCCUAUUUAUGGUGUCCCCGUCGUGAUUUUGCUGGGAUAUUGCCAAAAGAUGCGUAAAUCCAUGCUCUCUCAAUUCAACAUGCCAUGCCUUGACAGACAAAACGAAAUACAAAAUAUAACAUUUAUACUUACAAUUUUGCAAUGCAGUGUGCUUCAUCAAUGAAAAUUGCCAUCAAAAUCUUCUCUUUAGUCAGGCUGUGUUCCAAGAACUGUCUCUGGACUUGCAAAUAUUAUUAUGUCAGUGUCAGGGUGAAAAAACCGUCACAGUAGCAUGGUUGGAGUUAUUAAGUUUCUUAAACACGAAUGGUGCUAAUUCAAAUGUAAGUGAUUUUCCUGAUCCUGUUGGAGAAAAAAAAGGACAUCCUUUCCUCUGAGGUAACUUACAAUCACUUGUCUUUGAUGAUUCCUGAAGUGAUCAAUUAUGUAACUGCAUUACCUUCCAUACCAACAGUUAUACAUGUAGUUAAGUUAAAUAGAGGGCGUAUAUACUUAAAACACAACAUCAAUCCUUUGUUCCGUUCAGCAGUGUGUCAGAUUCGUGAUGGCUAGCUUGAGGUGGCUAGACUUGCUUUUUGUAUGCAUUACUAGAUUCUUUUUUUAAAUGAAAUAAAUAUAUUCCACGGUCAUUGGUGCAGGACUAAUUGUGUAUAUCACCUGAAUUUUGGUCAAUACCUGAAAUACUCAGUCGCCAAUACAGCCCCUAUUUCAUAUAAGGUUAUGAAAAUACAUGUCGGUUGGAGCCUGAAGCCUGAAGUAGAAUUUAGGUUAUUACACGGAUGAUAUACAUGUAAGGCCGAAAAUUGAUGAACUUCUUUAUUAUGAAGAACACAAUGUUUGGGACUAAUAUCAUUAGUUGAAGGAGUAAGU